rnacentral:rRNA from 1 species
AACGAACGCUGGCGGCGUGCCUAACACAUGCAAGUCGUGCGAGAAAGUUCCUUCGGGAGCGAGUAAAGCGGCGCACGGGUGAGUAACACGUAGGUAACCUGCCCCCCAGUCUGGAACAACUAGAGGAAACUCUAGCUAAUGCCGGAUGAGACCACGAUCCCUUCGGGGUUGCGGCCAAAGAUGGCCUCUACUUGUAAGCUAUCGCUGAGGGAUGGGCCUGCGGGCCAUUAGCUUGUUGGUGAGGUAACGGCUCACCAAGGCUGUGAUGGCUAGCUGGUCUGAGAGGAUGACCAGCCACACUGGGACUGAGACACGGCCCAGACUCCUACGGAGGCAGCAGUGGG